rnacentral:rRNA from 1 species
UACGAAGGGGGCUAGCGUUGCUCGGAAUCACUGGGCGUAAAAGGUGCGUAGGCGGGUCUUUAAGUCAGGGGUGAAAUCCUGGAGCUCAACUCCAGAACUGCCUUUGAUACUGAGGAUCUUGAGUUCGGGAGAGGUGAGUGGAACUGCGAGUGUAGAGGUGAAAUUCGUAGAUAUUCGCAAGAACACCAGUGGCGAAGGCGGCUCACUGGCCCGAUACUGACGCUGAGGCACGAAAGCGUGGGGAGCAAACAGG